AUGCGGCUGGCUGCGGUCAUUCCUCAGAUCAUAUACCCUGCGCAAUCGGCUUUCCAAAAAGGAAAAUGUAUUCACGACAGUUAUCUAUACAUCCAAGGAUGCGUAAAAUCUCUUCACAGAAGAAACAAGCCUGCUCCGCUCUUCAAAUUAGACAUAGAAAAAGCAUUCGACUCCAUUUCUUGGGAUUAUCUUCUAGAACUGCUUCAACAUCUAGGCUUCCCUGCAAGAUGGAGAAACUGGAUCUCCAUUCUCCUCUCCACGGUGACAUCCUCCUGUUUGUUAAAUGGUGAUGCAGGGCAGGCCAUUUGCCACUUGCAGGGCCUGAGGCAAGGCGAUCUACUCUCCCCUUUGCUAUUCAUCAUCGCCAUCGACCCCCUCUACCGCCUCCUCGACGCUGCUGUAAAUCUUGGCAUCUUCUCUCCUUUGCCAGGAAGAGGUGCCAGCAUGAGGAUUAGCCUCUAUGCUGACGACGCUGUGAUCUUCGCCAACCCGAUCAGAGAGGAGGUCGACUCGCUGCUACAUCUGCUCAAUCUUUUCGGGGACGCCUCUGGUCUUCGCCUAAACCAAAGUAAAUCCUCGGUGGCCCUGAUUAGGUGCAACAGUAUAGACAUCGCCGACGUGCUGCAUAGUUUCGGCGGCUCCAUAGUGGGAUUCCCAAUGACUUACCUAGGCCUCCCGGUUUCCAUUAGUAGAAUUCGUUUAGUGCACCUUCAAUUCCUCCUCGAUAGAAUUAGGGCUUGCCUCACGGGAUGGAAGGGUAGGCUUAUGAAUCUUGCUGGUCGUAGAAUCCUCGUCCGUAGCGUGCUGUCAGCACUACCAACUGAAGGAAAUAUGCCCUAG
rnacentral:rRNA from 1 species